rnacentral:rRNA from 1 species
GAUUUCUGACAAAGCGGGGCGGCCCGUGCUCUUAAUGGGUGCUGUGUGCCGUGUCGUGUUUGUCAUCCUUCCAGAGAGCUACGUCUACCAUUCAUUUGGCCGGACGUACGUGAUCUGGAUCGAUUACUUUGAAAAAAUUAGAGUGUUUAAAGCAGGCUUAUGCUGUGAAUACAUUAGCAUGGAAUAAUAAUAUAGGACUUUGGUUCUAUUUUGUUGGUUUCUAGGACUAAAGUAAUGAUUGAUAGGGAUAGUUGGGGGUGCUAGUAUUCAGAGGCCAGAGGUGAAAUUCUUGGAUUCUCUGAAGACUAACUACUGCGAAAGCAUU